UACGGAGGGAGCUAGCGUUAUUCGGAAUUACUGGGCGUAAAGCGCACGUAGGCGGCUUUGUAAGUUAGAGGUGAAAGCCUGGAGCUCAACUCCAGAAUUGCCUUUAAGACUGCAUCGCUUGAAUCCAGGAGAGGUGAGUGGAAUUCCCAGUGUAGUGGUGAAAUACGUAGAGAUUGGGAAGAACACCAGUGGCGAAGGCGGCUCACUGGACCGGCAUUGACGCUGAGGUGCGAAAGCGUGGGGAGCAAACAGG
rnacentral:rRNA from 1 species